rnacentral:rRNA from 1 species
GGGGGGACGGAGAAGGCUAUGUUGGCCGGGCGACGGUUGUCCCGGUUUAAGCGUGUAGGCUGGUUUUCCAGGCAAAUCCGGAAAAUCAAGGCUGAGGCGUGAUGACGAGGCACUACGGUGCUGAAGCAACAAAUGCCCUGCUUCCAGGAAAAGCCUCUAAGCAUCAGGUAACAUCAAAUCGUACCCCAAACCGACACAGGUGGUCAGGUAGAGAAUACCAAGGCGCUUGAGAGAACUCGGGUGAAGGAACUAGGCAAAAUGGUGCCGUAACUUCGGGAGAAGGCACGCUGAUAUGUAGGUGAAGUCCCUCGCGGAUGGAGCUGAAAUCAGUCGAAGAUACCAGCUGGCUGCAACUGUUUAUUAAAAACACAGCACUGUGCAAACACGAAAGUGGACGUAUACGGUGUGACGCCUGCCCGGUGCCGGAAGGUUAAUUGAUGGGGUUAGCGCAAGCGAAGCUCUUGAUCGAAGCCCCGGUAAACGGCGGCCGUAACUAUAACGGUCCUAAGGUAGCGAAAUUCCUUGUCGGGUAAGUUCCGACCUGCACGAAUGGCGUAAUGAUGGCCAGGCUGUCUCCACCCGAGACUCAGUGAAAUUGAACUCGCUGUGAAGAUGCAGUGUACCCGCGGCAAGACGGAAAGACCCCGUGAACCUUUACUAUAGCUUGACACUGAACAUUGAGCCUUGAUGUGUAGGAUAGGUGGGAGGCUUUGAAGUGUGGACGCCAGUCUGCAUGGAGCCGACCUUGAAAUACCACCCUUUAAUGUUUGAUGUUCUAACGUUGACCCGUAAUCCGGGUUGCGGACAGUGUCUGGUGGGUAGUUUGACUGGGGCGGUCUCCUCCUAAAGAGUAACGGAGGAGCACGAAGGUUGGCUAAUCCUGGUCGGACAUCAGGAGGUUAGUGCAAUGGCAUAAGCCAGCUUGACUGCGAGCGUGACGGCGCGAGCAGGUGCGAAAGCAGGUCAUAGUGAUCCGGUGGUUCUGAAUGGAAGGGCCAUCGCUCAACGGAUAAAAGGUACUCCGGGGAUAACAGGCUGAUACCGCCCAAGAGUUCAUAUCGACGGCGGUGUUUGGCACCUCGAUGUCGGCUCAUCACAUCCUGGGGCUGAAGUAGGUCCCAAGGGUAUGGCUGUUCGCCAUUUAAAGUGGUACGCGAGCUGGGUUUAGAACGUCGUGAGACAGUUCGGUCCCUAUCUGCCGUGGGCGCUGGAGAACUGAGGGGGGCUGCUCCUAGUACGAGAGGACCGGAGUGGACGCAUCACUGGUGUUCGGGUUGUCAUGCCAAUGGCACUGCCCGGUAGCUAAAUGCGGAAGAGAUAAGUGCUGAAAGCAUCUAAGCACGAAACUUGCCCCGAGAUGAGUUCUCCCUGACUCCUUGAGAGUCCUGAAGGAACGUUGAAGACGACGACGUUGAUAGGCCGGGUGUGUAAGCGCAGCGAUGCGUUGAGCUAACCGGUACUAAUGAACCGUGAGGCUUAACC